rnacentral:rRNA from 1 species
UGCGUAGGCGGGCUAUUAAGUCAGUGGUGAAAGCUUGCAGCUUAACUGUAAAAUUGCCAUUGAAACUGAUAGCCUCGAAUAUGGUUGAGGUGGUUGGAAUGUAUCAUGUAGCGGUGAAAUGCUUAGAUAUGAUACAGAACACCAUUGCGAAGGCAGAUCACUAAACCAUUAUUGACGCUGAGGCACGAAAGCGUGGGGAUCAAACA